GCAUUGGUAGUUCAGUGGUAGAAUUCUUGCCUUCCAUGUAAGAGCUCAGAUUUCGAUUCCUGGCCAAUGCA
rnacentral:tRNA from 1 species